UUAUGAAAGCAUUAGCCAAGCUUAUGAGAUCAGAUCGAAUCAGCGCAUGCAUUACAUAAGAUUUUCCGAUGAUGUUCGACCAAUGCCAUGUUGUUGUUUUUUUAUAAGAUCUGGGAACAAAGUUCAUAAGAUUUUCCUAUGGAUUACAUAAGAUUUUCCAAUGAUGUUCGACCAAUACCAUGUUGUUGUUUUUUUAUAAGAACUGGCAACAAAGUUCAUAAGAUUUUCCUAUGGAUUUUAUAGCUUUGAUAUUCGCUAUUUACAAAUGUCAGCAGUGUGAAAAUAGCUUAAGACAAUUUUAUUUCACCCAAACUUUAAAAUGGCGUCGGAAGAGCAAACUUGUGGGAAGUUGUUUCCGAGUGGAGGACACGUAACGACCUUGACUUCAAGUUAAUAACCGUGGCCGAUUCCGUAGGCUCGGUCCAGAUCAAUAGUGAAAACGAAGCCCAUCCCAGAGCGCAAUUUCACCGAUCGAGACGCCAGUUGGAGGCUCCGGCAAGGACGGCAUCUUCUGCCCCCCGGACAGAACGGACUCGCAAAAUUUAACACCGAUCCGGUGGAAUAAAUCCCGAGCUUCAGCGAGAGUGACGCGAUGAGCCCUUCCCGGAAAACAAUUCUGUCGAGACGCCAGUUGGAGGCUCUUGCACGUCCCGGAUCACCGUUCUUUGACCACCGGCCAGAUCUGGUGCGGAAGCGGAGAAAUCCGGGAAAGUAAAGAGGACAUCCCAGUGAACCUGCCUUGGCGUGACUCUUCGGGAACCGGUGAUGAAAACGGAUUAGAGAACAUCGUUCUGGAGAACUUUGGCCAUCAUAGUUUUCCAAUCGAAUCUAGAUCUCAAUUUGAUAUGUAUGCUAGUAUAAAACAGUAAUAAUAAACACUGAUAUCCAUAAUAACAUAAUAAUUAAAGUCAUAAAAAACUUCUUACAAAUAUCAUAAGAAUGCUCUAUGAAAAUCACGAGUAAAAUUUACUAAUUAACACUGAUAUCCAUAAUAAAAUUAUUGUUUAAGUCAUAAAAAUCUUCGUACCAAUAUCAUAAGAUAGCUCGAUGGAAAUCUUAUGUGACGGCUUUGUCAAAUUUCCCCUCCCAGACAUAAGAAAAUCUUAUGACAUUCAAAUAAAAUCCUGAUGUCGAAUGGUCAUAAGACGUUCUUAUGGAUUUCGCCAGUACUUUUUUCUGA